GAUGAACGCUGGCGGCGUGCCUAACACAUGCAAGUCGAACGGAGAUUACGGACGGAAGUUUUCGGAUGGAAGCCUGUAAUUCUUAGUGGCGGACGGGUGAGUAACGCGUGGGCAACCUGCCCUAUACAGGGGGAUAGCAGCUGGAAACGGCUGGUAAGACCGCAUAAGUCGGUUAAAUCGCAUGAUUUGAUCGGGAAAUGAGCAAUCAGGUAUAGGAUGGGCCCGCGUCCGAUUAGCCAGUUGGCAGGGUAAAAGCCUACCAAAGCGACGAUCGGUAGCCGGACUGAGAGGUCGGACGGCCACAUUGGGACUGAGACACGGCCCAAACUCCUACGGGAGGCAGCAGUGGGGGAUAUUGCACAAUGGAGGAAACUCUGAUGCAGCGACGCCGCGUGAGUGAAGAAGUAUUUCGGUAUGUAAAGCUCUAUCAGCAGGGAAGAUGAUGACGAUACCUGACUAAGAAGCCCCGGCUAACUACGUG
rnacentral:rRNA from 1 species